rnacentral:lncRNA from 1 species
CUCCUUUCUUUAGACAGUCUAACUACACAGCCCAAGCUAUCCUGGAACUCACUAAAUAGUUUGGCAUAACUUUGAACAUAUGCUCCCUCAGCCUCUGGAAUGCUUUUCCAGAGAGCUAAGGAAGAGGGCAAUCUUGAAAGGCCUUGGGGAGCCAACCUCUGCUGAGCCUCCACAACGCCCCACACAGUUUGCUUAGACAAGGCCAAGGCCAGGACAAGUCCUCUUCAGGCUGCCUGGGGAGCCUCUGAUCCUUCAGUAUCUUUCUAGGGGUGUGACCCUGGUAAGUUAUCUCUCUUUUUUCCUAGGUCCCCAGAACUCUGUUUGCUGACCACAGGCUUGAACUCUUAGGAGAAUCAAGGACCUGCAGAGGUUGACACAGGAUGGGCUGUACUGGUUGAAAUUGCCUUGGUUCUGGGCUGGCCCUGGAAUUCAUGCAUGGAGUGGCUUGGGCUACAGGGGUUCUCUCUUGUGUUCUCUCUCUCUCUCUCUCUCUCUCUCUCUCUCGUGUUCUCUCUCUCUUUGUGUGUACAUGUGUGUAUGUGUGUGUAUAUUUACUUGGUUAUUUUAUGUGUAUGGGUGUUUUGCCUGCAAUGUAUGUCUGUGUACUAUCUGCAAGCCUGUGUGUCAGAGGUCAGAAGAGGGCAUUGAACCUCCUGGGACUGGAGUCACAGAUGGUUGUGCCUUGUAGGUGCUGGAAAUUGAACCCAGGUCCUUUGGAAGAGCAGCCAGUGCUAUUAACAAACAAGCAAACAAGCAAAUGUAUGUGUAUAUACAUUUUAAGACAGUGUCACAUGUAAGUACUAUAUGUGUGUACACUCAUAUCCAGCUU